AGAAGAGAGUAUGAUUUCUAGUAAGUUGACUUAUUAUUCCUUGAAGGAAUUGGUAGUGGCAAGGGAAAGGAAUUGAUCAAGUGAUAGAUUUGAAGUGAAAGUUGUUAUUGAAGGUAUUUUGGCCAUCUUAGAAGGUUGACAACUUAGAUAAUGGUAUAGACAAUCCCUUGGUAUAUUAUGGCUCUUGAUACAAACUCUUUUUGGAUAAACAAGUUUUGUUGAGUAUGAAAUCUGUGAUUUGGACAAGUUUGUAGUCAUUUGAGUCAUAAUUGGUUAUGUAAACGUUUAGUAGGUCAAGUAAAUGUUUAGUAGGUCAUGGAUUUGGAUAAGUGACCCGUUUGGUCGUACAUUGAUUCUUUUGGUUAAAAACUUGAUUGUAAGUAGCAAAUGUUAUGUCAAAUGGAUGUUUGAAAUAUGGAAUGUUGUUUUGUUGUA